rnacentral:lncRNA from 10 species
GCCCUGGAAAUACAAAGAAGAUGGACACAGACACUGGUGGACAAGGGGGCACUUCCUGGCCUUCUGAAGCUUUGGGUCUGAGGGAGGACACAGGCAGGUGCUGCUCACAUCUUCAUUUUCUGCAUCGGUCUCACCAGGAUCCUGAGAGGAGGAGAGGGCGGGUAUUAGAUGUCCCCAAGAAGUGAAAAAAGAAGUGUCACCGGCAUUAAAGACUGAGCAAGGAGGCGUCAAAUCUCCUUGACCCCAUGCUCACAGCACA